AUAUGCAAUGACCCAGAUUAGCAUCCCUCCUCACACUCCAUCAACACUGAUUAGAGGAGCCCAUUUAAAGGAGCGCCUGACCAGCGUGUCCCUGUGACCACAACAACCUCUGCUUGUGACUGCGUACGCCACUCUCAAGCUCACUGCUCACUGGCUUGACAACGGCAGAAAAGUCUGAGCCUCUUCAAUCAGGCUCCGGCUGUGAGACUAGAUGCCGACUGUCCCUGUGCUGCACCAAACUAAUCAUCCACUUCAUGCAGUGAAAACAGGCCACUGCGAGAGCAACGCCAGCUGUGGUUAAGGAUACAAGCGCUCCGGCCGCCUUCAACCCUCCCAACCUCCCCUCCUCCGCAGGCUCUCCCCGCACCAGAGAAACAACAGGGCUGAAGUAGAGGUGGAGAUGGAGAAGAAAUGGCAAGACUGUGUUGUAAGUUACAGUGCAAAUGAGCUUUGUAAAGGUGCUAAUUGUAUGCAAAGAAACAAGUAAGCGUGCUCUGCACUGUAUGCAUGUUUGUGUGUGCGCGUGUGUGUGUGUGUACAUCUUUUUGCCUAAAGAUGCGAGGGGCUAAUUUUGCUUACCAGAACCAUUUUUGCUUAUCAACAGAAAAUGAGGAAAAUAUGGAUCUUAGCUCAUUAUGGUGUUGUUUAUGUUUACCCAAGUAACCCAUUAAACCAUAGAGAGAGCCUCCUUUAACUGUGAGCAUGUUAGUAAUGUGGUCUCAGUCAUUGGAGGAGGCUACUCAUUACUCUUUAAUGUGCUGAAUAAACAUUUCACAGGCUCACUGUUCCCAGCUAUUGUUCAUAUUGUUGUGAAUGCAGCAUUUUCUCAUUGUUAGACCACGCCAACAGAUAUGCUGCGCCGGG